rnacentral:rRNA from 1 species
GGCUUAGAGUUUGAUCAUGGCUCAGGAUGAACGCUGGCGGCGUGCCUAACACAUGCAAGUCGAGCAAUUUACUUCGGUAAAGAGCGGCGGACGGGUGAGUAACGCGUGGGUAACCUGCCCUGUACACACGGAUAACAUACCGAAAGGUAUGCUAAUACGAGAUAAUAUGCUUUUAUCGCAUGGUAGAAGUAUCAAAGCUUUUGCGGUACAGGAUGGACCCGCGUCUGAUUAGCUAGUUGGUAAGGUAACGGCUUACCAAGGCGACGAUCAGUAGCCGGCCUGAGAGGGUGAUCGGCCACAUUGGAACUGAGACACGGUCCAAACUCCUACGGGAGGCAGCAGUGGGGAAUAUUGCACAAUGGGCGAAAGCCUGAUGCGGCAACGCCGCGUGAGCGAUGAAGGCCUUCGGGUCGUAAAGCUCUGUCCUCAAGGAAGAUAAUGACGGUACUUGAGGAGGAAGCCCCGGCUAACUACGUGCCAGCAGCCGCGGUAAUACGUAGGGGGCUAGCGUUAUCCGGAAUUACUGGGCGUAAAGGGUGCGUAGGUGGUUUCUUAAGUCAGAGGUGAAAGGCUACGGCUCAACCGUAGUAAGCCUUUGAAACUGGGAAACUUGAGUGCAGGAGAGGAGAGUG